AUGCUUAAGAAUCAGGUGUGGCUUGGAUUCGUAGAAUCGGCUAGGGCUACAGAUUUUGAAAAUCAGAAGUUGACUGUUUGUUUUCCCAAGCUUUUGGAAAAUCUGAAUUCUUGUGAAAUGUCUGCAUCGCCCCAGAAUGCACUGGUCAAUCUGAUUUUGAUGCAGGAGACGGCGCAGGAGGAAGAUCGGGGCGGGGAGGUUGGUGAAGCUGGAACAGGCCGCUCGGACGACACGCGUGCGCGCCGGAGCAGCCCCCGCAGCCGGACGAGCCUGGCCGUGGGCGCCGCCGGCCUGGGCGGGCGCAAGCUCAAGGGUCGUAGCUCCCUCGCGGCCUCGCGGUCGAGCUCGCGUGGCUGGGCGUGA
rnacentral:rRNA from 1 species